rnacentral:rRNA from 1 species
GAUGAACGCUAGCGGCAGGCCUAACACAUGCAAGUCGAGGGAGAAGCCCUUCGGGGCAGAAACCGGCGCACGGGUGCGUAACGCGUAUGCAACCUACCUUUCACAGGGGGAUAGCCCGAAGAAAUUUGGAUUAAUACCCCAUAAUAUUGUUGGAUGGCAUCAUCUGGCAAUUAAAACUGAGGUGGUGAGAGAUGGGCAUGCGUCCUAUUAGCUAGUUGGAGUGGUAACGGCACCCCAAGGCUACGAUAGGUAGGGGUCCUGAGAGGGAGAUCCCCCACACUGGUACUGAGACAGGGACCAGACUCCUACGGGAGGCAGCAGUGAGGAAUAUUGGUCAAUGGUCGGAAGACUGAACCAGCCAUGCCGCGUGCAGGAAGAAUGCCUUAUGGGUUGUAAACUGCUUUUAUAUGGGAAGAAUAAGGUGUACGUGUACAUUGAUGACGGUACCAUAUGAUAAGCUCGCA